rnacentral:rRNA from 1 species
ACGCUAGCUACAGGCUUAACACAUGCAAGUCGAGGGGAAACGGCAUUAAGUGCUUGCACUUUUUGGACGUCGACCGGCGCACGGGUGAGUAACGCGUAUCCAACCUUCCCAUGACUAAGGGAUAACCUGCCGAAAGGCAGACUAAUACCUUAUGGUCUUCACUGACGGCAUCAGAUGUGAAGUAAAGAUUUAUCGGUUAUGGAUGGGGAUGCGUCUGAUUAGUUAGUUGGCGGGGUAACGGCCCACCAAGGCAACGAUCAGUAGGGGUUCUGAGAGGAAGGUCCCCCACAUUGGAACUGAGACACGGUCCAAACUCCUACGGGAGGCAGCAGUGAGGAAUAUUGGUCAAUGGGCGAGAGCCUGAACCAGCCAAGUAGCGUGCAGGACGACGGCCCUAUGGGUUGUAAACUGCUUUUGUAUGGGGAUAAAGUCAAUCACGUGUGAUUGUUUGCAGGUACCAUACGAAUAAGGACCGGCUAACUCCGUGCCAGCAGCCGCGGUAAUACGGAAGGUCCGGGCGUUAUCCGGAUUUAUUGGGUUUAAAGGGAGCGUAGGCUGGAGAUUAAGUGUGUUGUGAAAUGUAGACGCUCAACGUCUGACUUGCAGCGCAUACUGGUUUCCUUGAGUACGCACAACGUUGGCGGAAUUCGUCGUGUAGCGGUGAAAUGCUUAGAUAUGACGAAGAACUCCGAUUGCGAAGGCAGCUGACGGGAGCGCAACUGACGCUGAAGCUCGAAGGUGCGGGUAUCGAACAGGAUUAGAUACCCUGGUAGUCCGCACAGUAAACGAUGGAUGCCCGCUGUUGGUACGUGGUAUCAGCGGCUAAGCGAAAGCAUUAAGCAUCCCACCUGGGGAGUACGCCGGCAACGGUGAAACUCAAAGGAAUUGACGGGGGCCCGCACAAGCGGAG